GAGGAGGAGGAGUGGGUCGCCGGCGACAAGUGGCGAUGGAAAGGGAAGCGCUGCCGCCACUAUGCUUGUCGUUUUUCCUGUCCCACCGACUCGCCGGUGGCCUCGUGUCAACCCUGCCGACCCCGGACUUGUGCGGGGCCCGAGCCAAGGCCCCGGAGUGCCCGGUGGCCGCUCUCAGCCCACGUGGCUUUCUGGCCGAGUGCGUGCGUUGGGCCCUUGUCCCAGCUGGCGCACCGACUCACAGAAUCCAUUGGGUUGGAAAAGACCUCUGAGGUCGCCGAUUCUAAUCCGUGACCAAACACCACUAUGUCACCUAGACACUGCACUGAGUGCCACGUCCAGUCUUUCCUUAAACACUUCCAGGGAGGUUAGCACUAAAUGAGGUUACGGGACGCUCUCCUGACAGGCUGUGUCUGUUCCUUCCAGGUGUAUAGAGAGUCACAGGGUUGGAAGGGACCUCUGGAGAUCAUCUAGUCCAACCCUACCCCCGCCCCGUGCCAAGGCAGGGUCAUCCAGAGCUGGUUACACAGGAACGUGUCCACGUGGGUUUUGAAUGUCUUCCGAGAGGGGAUAUCCAGGACCUCGGUGGGCGGCCUGUCCCAGUGCUUGCCAAACUCAGGAAGUUCCUUCAGUGGGAAACUCCAUCCUGACCUUUCCUGUUUGUCUGGGCCAGAAGCAAUGCUGCACCCGCUGCCUGGCAGUUUAUGUCAUGAUCUCCACUUAUGGUGAUGCUAAAGAAAAGGUGUAACAGAGGUGACUGGGCCAUGUCUCCAAAAGAUCUUGUUAUCAGCUGAUGGGCAAUGCUGCAAGGUCCAACCUCUUCCUAGCAGAGGAAAUGGUGUUCAAAUAUUUAUCUUCACAACCUAGAGCAUAUUAGUCCUCAAAGGUCUUUCAAAGGAUUUUUCAAGAAACAGCAAACUUCUUUCAGAACAAAUGAUCACGCUGACUGCUAUUCAAGUGUAUAAUGUUGCAUCAUCUUCAACACAGCAUUAUGCCUAGAUGCCCAAAUUCUUGCCAUAACAAACUCUUGUAUGUUUGAAUGAACUUCCUGAAUGAAAUCUGAGGCAGAGAAGAGGAUCAUGAGGUUGGGAUCCCUCCCUGUCCUGCUGGCAGCACUCCCAGUCUCCCCCCCAGAGCAUCUCUGCCUUUUGGCCACAGGACACACCACCAGUGACAUUUGUAUGUUCAUGUCCCCAGGACCUCCAGACCCUUCCCUGCCAAUGGAGAUGCAUCCCACAGGAAUGCUGUGCAGAGGCCUCACUGGCAGUGGGAACUCUGCCAGCAGGGCUGAGGACCCAUGUGGGAUGUGGGAUAAGAGUUUGUGGGGCUGCCCCAGCAAAAGGGGAUUGUGUGGAGCUCGUGGAAAUGUUCAAAUAUGGUGCUGGUGUAUCUGGGGAGAGGACUGAAAGUGGGGGACUGGGAUGGGCCCAGUAAGACUCAGAGACAGAGAGGGGUGGGAAACCCAUGUUUUGGCCCCUGGCACAGAUGUGCUUUGCUUGCAUGUCAGUCUGCUUCUUGGGUGGCUCCCGAAGUUCUGGGAUGCUUGGAGUUUAGAGCUUUGCUCUGCAAAAAACACCAAGCCAAGGGUGCAGGUCAGCAGAUGGUCCCCAGCAGCAUCUUUUGUGAAGCCUGAACCCAGCCCUCUCCUGCAUUUUAGCCAGUUUGGGCCAGAGGAGUUGAGCUGCUGCUGUAUGGAAGGAUCAGAGGAAAGCUCAGAGGGCUGUGACAGGGGAAUAACCGAAUCCAUUUGGGUCUGGAAUCCAUUUGGGAGGGAGAGGGUUGUUAGGGUGCCCU